rnacentral:rRNA from 1 species
AGAGUUUGAUCCUGGCUCAGGAUGAACGCUGGCGGUCUGCUUAACACAUGCAAGUCGAACGGAGUAGAAAUACUUAGUGGCGGACGGGUGAGUAACGCGUGAGAAUCUGCCUUCAGGACGGAGACAACAGUUGGAAACGACUGCUAAGCCCCGAUGAACCGAAAGGGAAAAUAUUUAUAGCCUGAAGAUGAGCUCGCGUCCGAUUAGCUAGUUGGCGGAGUAAAAGCCCACCAAGGCGACGAUCGGUAGCUGGUCUGAGAGGACGAUCAGCCACACUGGGACUGAGACACGGCCCAGACUCCUACGGGAGGCAGCAGUGGGGAAUUUUCCGCAAUGGGCGAAAGCCUGACGGAGCAAGACCGCGUGGGGGAAGAAGGCUCUUGGGUUGUAAACCCCUUUUCUCUGGGAAGAAAGUUGUGAAAGCAACCUGACGGUACCAGAGGAAUCAGCAUCGGCUAACUCCGUGCCAGCAGCCGCGGUAAUACGUAGGGUCCGAGCGUUGUCCGGAAUUAUUGGGCGUAAAGGGCUCGUAGGCGGUUCGUCACGUCGGGAGUGAAAACUCGGAGCUCAACUCCGAGCCUGCUUCCGAUACGGGCAGACUAGAGGUAGGCAGGGGAGAGCGGAACUCCUGGUGUAGCGGUGGAAUGCGCAGAUAUCAGGAAGAACACCGGUGGCGAAGGCGGCUCUCUGGGCCUUACCUGACGCUGAGGAGCGAAAGCGUGGGUAGCGAACAGGAUUAGAUACCCCCGUAGUCC